rnacentral:tRNA from 3 species
UCGGGAUAGCUCAGUUGG